AAGGCUCAAGUGAUCCUUCCAUGUCAGCCUCCCAAUUAGCUGGGACUACAGGACCAAAGGCAACUCUGGAAAUGCUCUAACAAAGGUUAGAAGUAACUUUGAAAACAUUUUACCGACUCCAGGUGCAGGACCCAGAUCAGCAACAACUUUGAAAUAAACUACAGCUCUCCUGUGAGCUAAAGGCAGAAAUGUGGAAAUGUUGAGAAAAUUCUUGUCUGCAUCACAUGAGAAAAAGCCAAAGAAACUAUGAAAUCAUAACUUUUCCAAGCCCACUAAGGAGCUAAGAUAACAGAGCAAUCAAGUUGCCUAAUUGCAAGGAACAAUAGACUCCUCCUAAGGACACACAUACUCAUGAUUGCCAAUAAUAUCUGUGGUCCUUAGCUAUAACGUACUCAACUUGAGGGUGGUGGAAGAUCUCCAUAAAUGCUGAAGUUUGAAUUUUAGCUCCAGAACUUAUUUGCUGUGUGUGAACUUGGGUAACCCAAGAGGAACCAGAUGGGAACAGAGAUGAGAAAGAUAAAGAGAAAAGCUGCAUUGUGCAAUUUGAUUCUCUAUGAUUCUUCAGACAUUUUCAGUGAAAUACAAUAAACCCAAGAAUGUCUGAUAGAGAAAAAUCCGUAUAUGUGCUGCCAUGUUGACAAGAGCCUUUGCAGAUGGUCUGUCCGUAUGCUACAGUAGAACAAGAACAGCACCACUGAGCUCCUAGUGCCAGACAGAGGAAAAGAGGCAAGUUGGGAAAGAGAGAGGAAGAAAGGUAUGAGUAAAGGUUGGCAUUGGAAAGAAAACAGCAUCUGUAGAAAAGCUGUAGACAGUUCCGCUUCCUUAAAGUGGAGAGUUAAACUCACCUUUUGACAGCAUACUUUCUUUGCAUAGGAGAAUAACCCACAGUGGCCUUUAGACACAUGAGUUUUACUAGAAAUGUGACUGCAUAGUAUGGAGAAAGUCUGGAAAACACUGUUUAUCACAAAUGGCUUGGUUUUUGAAUGGACUUUUUAAGUAUUUUAUUCAAACACAAAUAUUUGGCAUCAAAUGUUUCAACAAAUGAAGUUUUAAAAUGCAAAUUAGCUUUACAUUUGAUAAUUCCAAGAUCAUCAUCAGUAACAAAAACACCUAAAACUUUCACCACCAGUGAGAUGGAAAAGGAUAUUUCGACACUGGGGGACAAGGGAGGGGCAUAUGAGAUUUUGCACUAGGACCCAUUUUACUAACUGGCCACAGUACAUUAUCCAGGUUUCCACAGAUAAGGGGAAUACAUGAAAUAGAAAUUUCUUGAUAGUCAAUAGGAACUUCAAAUGUGAUUACAGAUCAUCUGUGUACUUCAAAACAAUCCCUAAUGCAAGCAGAAGAUGAAACAAGUCCUAGGCAGAAGUUUAACUGGGGACCAAAAAGGGAAGAAGGACAGGAGGCAGAAAGGAAGAAGAAAGAGGCCAUCUCAGUCUCUUGGAUUAUGAAAAUACAAAGCACCUUUUAAAGGUUGUGGCAGAUUAAACUAAGAAGUAAGAAGGAGACCUGUCUACAGAGACUUACUGGCCACAUAUUGAGGUUUGGAUACUGGUAGGUAAAGAGAAGCCACUGAAAGGAUUUAAGUGAGAAAAUGACAAAUCAGAUUUAUAUUUUUGGUUAAACAGUUGGGUUGCAGUGUGGAAGACAUCUAUUCUCAAAUCAUGAGAAACACAUUUGGGUCAUAAAAGUUAUUAUAGUCUAUUUACAGUCUAAUGAACUAUAUAAUCAUGUGCACAUACACGUGUGUGGGUGUCUAUAAAAUCUAUUAAGUUAUAUAGCAUUUGGUAGUUUGUUGACAACGAUUUAAAAAAGGAGUCUGUGAUGUAGGCAGGCGUAAUUACCUCCACUUAACAGAUAAGAAAACUAAGCCUUAAAAGAUAAGUGACUUGCCGAAGGUCACAUAAAUAAUAAGGGCUGAAAUCAGGCCUAUGAAACACCUCUCUUUACUUCUAGUCUUAUAUUUUUCUGUGACUCUGUAUGCUUAAUAGUGUAGUCUUCUAAUAAAUUUACUAUUUUUUUCAAUUUACUCAAUUGGGAAAGGGGUAGGGAAUCACUUUGUUUUAUCACAGGG